GAACAUCAUCUCUGUUCAGCUGCAGGACUCCCAAGUCACUUUUUUGGAUGAGGAGACUAAGAAGGUUGUGCCUUGGCCAAAGUCACUGAACUAGGAAGCAUAGGAGGUAACAUAGGAUUUGAAUUUAAAGCUUCUUGACUUCAAAUGAUUGGCUGUUGGCCUUCUUUCUUGAAGAGGACCAAAAUCACAUCACUAUGUUGGGGUCAAGAGCCUUCCAAAUAUUGAGCUAGCUCUGGCAAUGUGUGUGUCAAACUCAUCAUUUAUAUGUACAUGCCUGGAUAGUAUACUGACAAGCUAACCCUGGUUUCUGGGAGAAGUCUAGGUAAAUGUUUCUCAGAGUCCAGUCAAGAGCAGAAGAGGCCUAAUGAAUUUACAAAAUCAUCUGUGAGCUGCCAAAUGGAGUUAAUUGUGAGAGAAAGGAUUUGUCUCACACCGAAAUGCCUUACUUUCCAAAGAGAGAACUUUCUCACUGGGAUAAGACUUCCAAGAAUUCAUGAAGUUAAUGGAUGCUUUGAGGUUGAUUUUUAGAUGGUCAUUUGUCGCUUCAUGCUUCUGAGAUUGUCACUCAGAAUGGACAGAAAGUUAAUACUGUUCGAUAGGACUUUUGAUGAAAAGCCUAACCCAAAGAGGUAUGGUGUUUGGUCUCCAUACACAUUUUGGACAAAAUAACUCUACAUUUGGGUAGCUGUGACAUAUUUUUGCUAUUCUUUCAAGGAACCUCAAAAAGCAUGUUAACAAGACUCUUGAAAUUAAUACUCUACUAUUAGGGGACAUGUAGAUGAGGAUCCCUCCCUCCUGUUUCCCUCUGCUGAAUCAUUACAGUCCCUAUAAUACAUGACAUUCUCUGUCCUUAACAAAUCCCAUCCCUCCAAUCAAUGGUGAUUGGCACCAGGCCACCGCUGUUUCACUUGAACUCAUUAUGAAACCUGGUCCUGUAUUUUGUUUUUAUUAGUUCUCACCACUCUUAAGCGCUCUCAUUCUCUCAUUCUUCCCUGAUUUAAGCCCGUAGUAGUCCUGCAAUCUUGCCAAUUUUUAAAGAAUUGAAGAAACCCAAGUUGGCUUCAGGGCAGGUUUCCUCAAAACACUUGUAGCUCUAAUUAUAUAAUCACCAUUCAAAGCUGAGGCCAGCAAGUCCAAUUUAGUGCACAGUAUGGAUGACUUCUGAGUCUUUGUACCUUUUGAAAGGUCUCUUUCCCACCCCCCCCAAUUUUAUUUUUUUACCCAAUGGCUGAAUUUAGAACAAACUGCUAUUGGUUGAAGAAGUCAGCCAAUGUGACCAAUUAGCCUUUAGAUGCCCACACCCUUAACUACCUCCUGAUAAUUUCAACCAUAGGGCUCUGGUGAAGAAGCCUCUUGUGAAAGUUAAUGGUUAUAAAAAGCACUUACGUACAUCUGUUUCAGUGUAGCCAUGCAGAGUGCAAUUAAUUAAGGAGUUUCUGGUGUGGUAAGAAUAAUCAUACAGCUGGAAUGCAAACACAUGAUUUCCAAAGAGAAUUUUAUUCCAUAUGGAAUUUUUCCCCUAACUAAGAAUUAAUUGCAACUUUAAAGAAGGUUUGAUUGUGUCUAUGAGAAACAUUUUAACUACUGAGGAAUUCUAAAUGACUUCAAUUUCAAAUUUUCUUUCUUUACAUUGUUUGAGUUAAGACAGCAGGGCUUUGAUCAAGCUCUGAGUUAUAUAAUUUAUUAGAGUAAAGGGAAGAGGAUAACCUUCAGAUGUCUUCUGUGGUGAAAGACUGUAGUUAAACAUUUUAAAUGUUUGCAGACUAAAGACAUACUCAACUGAGAGGCCCAAUGGGAUAAAUAUGAUGUGACUUGUUUUAUUUUCUUACUUGUCCUUAGUUUUAAAACACACAUACACACCCAUCACCCCCCCCAAAGUGUAUGUAAAUCAUAUUUAAUGCCUUUCUUAUAACUCCUGAGAUGAGUUUUCAGUGACUAUCCUUUCUGUGACGGUUUUACACCAUAUAGAAUAUAUGUUAUGUUAGAGUAUGAGGAAGAAGCCUUAGGAUUGUUGGGGCAGCAGUUUCAAAUCCUUAAAGCCUUAUGUCGAUACAAUAUAAAAAGAUUCCUUGUACCUUGAACUACAAAUUUUCUGAUUUUUUGCUUCUUGUCUAUGAAUAAUGCAAAUCACCGAGGCGAAAAAGAGGCAUACUAGGGAAACAGCUUAAUCCAGACAGUUCAAGAACAGUAAAAACAGGAGGGCUGCCAGUAAAAACAACUAGAGUGUAGAACUCAUCAUGCUUAACUAGAUCAUAGGAGUGUAAUAAUUUCAGGGGAAAAUGGUUUCAAUGAAUAACAAAAUACUCUUAUCACACGCAAUUUUAAUUUGAUUGGCAUGACAUCUCCAUCAUAUUCUAAUUAAUUACGGAUGAUAAAAAUGGCUGCCUUCUUCAGAGUUCAAAUGAACAUUCAUCAAUCGGUUACUUAAAUGCCAGACCAUCUGAAAUAUUGAGGGAACUUGUUCCUGUUUUGGAGAUGAAAGCAAACAAAAUGGAAAUCUUGAACUAAUUCAGAGAAGGAUGCAUAUUGAUAAGUUGUGUUUGGCAAGAUAAUGCUGCCCUCAUGGGGGAAGGGAUGACAGUACAGGUAUCCCUUAUUUAAUGAAUAAAUGUAUUGUGGCAAAGUUAGAGAAAUCCUCCUGUUACAUUGACUUGCAUUAUACAUAUCUUGAUUUGGAUUUACUAGGAAAACACUUUAAUAAAGUCAUUCCAAAUGA